rnacentral:rRNA from 1 species
CCUACGGGUGGCAGCAGUGGGGAAUAUUGCACAAUGGGCGAAAGCCUGAUGCAGCAACGCCGCGUGAGCGAUGAAGGCCUUAGGGUCGUAAAGCUCUGUCCUCAAGGAAGAUAAUGACGGUACUUGAUGAGGAAGCCCCGGCUAACUACGUGCCAGCACCCGCGGUACUACGUAGGGGGCUAGCGUUAUCCGGAAUUACUGGGCGUAAAGGGUGGGUAGGUGGUUUCUUAAGUCAGAGGUGAAAGGCUACGGUUCAACCGUAGUAAGCCUUUGACACUGGGAAACUUGAGUGCAGGAGAGGAGAGCGGAAUGCGUGGUGUAGCGGUGAAAUGCGUAGAUAUUAGGCAGAACACCAGUUGCGAAGGCGGCUCUCUGAACUGUAACUGACACUGAGGCACGAAAGCGUGGGGAGCAAACAGGAUUAGAUACCCUGGUAGUC